UAUAAAAGUUUGUUAAAUCUCUAUUCCAUUCGAUAAUGUGAAAUUUAUAUAAAAAUUGUUUAAUAUUUCAGAUGAAACUGAAGACGCUAUUAUCUCAAUCGUUUUAUUUAAAAUUUCAUCAACAGAGCUAUUCGUUGAAAGCUCAUCCCAGAUCAUUAUAAUAUUCGCAUGUGAAAACGAUUGUGUUGUAUAAAGAUGAAGAAGGUAUAUCUUGCUGCAAUAGCGGGAAAUCUGGGAAUGCUGUCAGUCGGCCAAUUUUUUGCUUGGUCAUCACCAUCCUUGCCGAUAUUGAUGCAAGGAAAGGAUGAAACAUAUCCUGUACAUCUGAUUUCCGAAGAAGCCGCUUGGGUAACAUCUUUACUUACAUUCGGUUCAGCCGUGGGUGCCAUUAUUUGUACAAUCACGAUGGAUGUCUACGGCAGAAAAAACAUCAUGUUAUUUACGGUCAUACCCUCGAUAAUGAGCUGGUUGAUGAUAGCUUUUGCAACAUCACUAUUGGAGCUAUAUAUAUCAAGGUUUAUAUCCGGUUUGGCUAUGGGUAUCGCUUUUUCAGUUACGCCGAUAUAUUUAGGUGAAAUUUCACCAGCGCACAUCCGCGGUAAUUUGACAUCCAUGUUAAUAGCCGCCACGAGAAUCGGCAAUUUAAUUAUGUACGUGAUAGGCCCAUUUUUAUCGGUACAAAAUCUCGCCUUCGUGUCUUUGAUUGGACCGUGUCUAUUUAUAUUUGCUUUCAUCUGGCUACCGGAAUCUCCGUACUAUUUGAUGCAUCACAACGAGAAGCAAAAAGCUAUAAACUCUCUCAUUCAAUUGAGAGGCAAAGAGGAUGUUCACAAUGAAGCAAAUGAUAUUGAGCGGUUUGUAAAAGUUGAUUUAGCUAAUAAAGCUAGUUUUCGAGAACUCUUAUGCGUGCCAGGAAAUCGCAGGGCUCUAAUAAUAAUAUCGUGCCUGGGCGUAAUUCAACAAAUGUCCGGUUUUCAAACAAUGUUGCAGUAUGCUGAUAUCAUUUUCGAUCAGGCGAAUAGUAAUCUGGAGAGCAAGUAUCUGACCAUGAUACUGGGCGUCAUACAAGUUAUAUUUUCCAUUAUUUCUAUGUUUAUCACUGAUCACUUCGGUAGGAAGUCGCUGCUGAUCAUCUCCGCAAUCGGUUCGGGCUGUUCGACCGCUAUAGUCGCGAUAUAUUUCAAUCUGCAAUACAAUCAUAUAAAUACCAACCAUCUAGUUUGGUUGCUCGCCACAAGUGUGAUGAUGUAUACAAUCAUGUAUGCUUUGGGCCUAGCCUCGGUACCGUUCACCUUGCUCAGCGAAAUGUAUCCCAUAAAUGUGAAGGCUCUCGGCAGCACGAUUUUUUUAGUACUUAUCAGUUUGUUGAGUUUUGUUAUGUCAACGUUGUAUUUGAUCAUUACCGAUAUUGUUGGCGCACACGUACCGUUCUGGAUAUUCACCGCGUGCAGUCUCGCUGGUGCUUUAUUCAUAUUUCUCUGUGUACCUGAAACCAAAGGCAAGACGUUCGAACAAAUACAAGAGCAAUUGCAAGACUUAUCGAAGCAAUGAGAAUCGUAAAUAAAAUAUUUACACGUUAAACUUUUUUCAACGAGUAGUAUUCUUAAAUUGUUCAUUAGAGAAAGCACUUUUUAAAAUCGGACUUAUAUCGGACUCGCCACAUUAAUUGCAUUUAGAAAGAUUAAUCAUAAAUAUAUACACAAAAUUUAGUUUUGGCAAUUGGAAAAUUAUAAUGAUAUUGUAUUUCCUAAAUUUGUAUAAGAACCAGCUUUUUAUCUUUAGCUGACAUUUAAAAAUUAAUAUUAUCAGAUAGCAAUAAUAUAAUGAUCUUGUUUUUUGAUAUUUAUAUUGAUAAAUUUUGAAUGAUAGAUAAAUAGCAUGCUUCUUUGUAUAAAAAUCUCUCGACAAUAGGAUCAAAAAAGGUUUAAUUGGUUUCUUGUUUAAUAUACAGACUAAAUAUAGCAUAAAAUAUUUAACAUAUAAAUAUGUGCAAUAAUUCUUGAUAAGAUAUUUGUAAUUGUUUUCAAAUUAUGAUUACAUAAGAUCUGAAAUAAAGAUUAUAUAAGAUUUGUUCUUCGAUAAUAUAAAAUCUGUUAUUUGAUAAUAUAAAAUCUGUUCUUCGAUAAUAUAAAAUCUGUUCUUCGAGUAUACACAAUUUAUUCUUUCUUCUUUAUAUCAAAUGUGCAAUAUGCUGAUGAUAAAGUUGAUAUGAUAGUGUUAUCUAUAAACCUUUUUUAAAUCAGCUUAUUAUGACAAACUCAUCAUUUAAUGUUUGCAUGUGAAACCGGUUGUAUUGCGAAACAUGAAGAAAAUAUAUCUCGCCGCUGUAGCAGGUACAUAUAUAUUUUUUAGAAUAAUUAGACAAAUAAAUAAAUUUUUGGAU